ACGCUGGCGGCGUGCCUAAUACAUGCAAGUAGAACGCUGAAGGAGGAGCUUGCUUCUCUGGAUGAGUUGCGAACGGGUGAGUAACGCGUAGGUAACCUGCCUGGUAGCGGGGGAUAACUAUUGGAAACGAUAGCUAAUACCGCAUAACAGUAAAUGUUGCAUGACAUUUGCUUAAAAGGUGCAAUUGCAUCACUACCAGAUGGACCUGCGUUGUAUUAGCUAGUUGGUGGGGUAACGGCUCACCAAGGCGACGAUACAUAGCCGACCUGAGAGGGUGAUCGGCCACACUGGGACUGAGACACGGCCCAGACUCCUACGGGAGGCAGCAGUAGGGAAUCUUCGGCAAUGGACGGAAGUCUGACCGAGCAACGCCGCGUGAGUGAAGAAGGUUUUCGGAUCGUAAAGCUCUGUUGUAAGAGAAGAACAGGUGUGAGAGUGGAAAGUUCACACUGUGACGGUAUCUUACCAGAAAGGGACGGCUAACUACGUGCCAGCAGCCGCGGUAAUACGUAGGUCCCGAGCGUUGUCCGGAUUUAUUGGGCGUAAAGCGAGCGCAGGCGGUUAGAUAAGUCUGAAGUUAAAGGCUGUGGCUUAACCAUAGUACGCUUUGGAAACUGUUUAACUUGAGUGCAAGAGGGGAGAGUGGAAUUCCAUGUGUAGCGGUGAAAUGCGUAGAUAUAUGGAGGAACACCGGUGGCGAAAGCGGCUCUCUGGCUUGUAACUGACGCUGAGGCUCGAAAGCGUGGGGAGCAAACAGGAUUAGAUACCCCUGGUAGUCCACGCCGUAAACGAUGAGUGCUAGGUGUUAGACCCUUUCCGGGGUUUAGUGCCGCAGCUAACGCAUUAAGCACUCCGCCUGGGGAGUACGACCGCAAGGUUGAAACUCAAAGGAAUUGAC
rnacentral:rRNA from 1 species